rnacentral:rRNA from 1 species
CGUGUAGGCGGCAUAGUAAGUCAGAUGUGAAAGCCCUCGGCUCAACCGGGGAAGUGCAUUUGAAACUGCUGAGCUAGAGUACGGGAGAGGGUAGUAGAAUUCCUGGUGUAGAGGUGAAAUUCGUAGAUAUCAGGAGGAAUACCGGUGGCGAAGGCGGCUACCUGGACCGAUACUGACGCUGAGACGCGAAAGCGUGGGGAGCAAACAGGAUUAGAUACCCUGGUAGUCC